rnacentral:rRNA from 1 species
AGAUUGAACGCUGGCGGCGUGCCUAACACAUGCAAGUCGAGCGGUAAGGCCCUUCGGGGUACACGAGCGGCGAACGGGUGAGUAACACGUGGGUAAUCUGCCCUGUACUUUGGGAUAAGCCCGGGAAACUGGGUCUAAUACCGGAUAUGACCUUGUCACGCAUGUGGUGGGGUGGAAAGUUCCGGCGGUACGGGAUGGGCCCGCGGCCUAUCAGCUUGUUGGUGGGGUAAUGGCCUACCAAGGCGACGACGGGUAGCCGGCCUGAGAGGGCGACCGGCCACACUGGGACUGAGACACGGCCCAGACUCCUACGGGAGGCAGCAGUGGGGAAUCUUGCACAAUGGGCGAAAGCCUGAUGCAGCGACGCCGCGUGAGGGAUGACGGCCUUCGGGUUGUAAACCUCUUUCAGUAGGGACGAAGCGUAAGUGACGGUACCUGCAGAAGAAGCACCGGCUAACUACGCGCCAGCAGCCGC